rnacentral:misc_RNA from 1 species
GAUGAAGAACGUAGCGAAAUGCGAUAAGUAAUGUGAAUUGCAGAAUUCAGUGAAUCAUCGAAUCUUUGAACGCACAUUGCGCCCUCUGGUAUUCCGGGGGGCAUGCCUGUUCGAGCGUCAUUAUAACCACUCAAGCUCUCGCUUGGUAUUGGGGUUCGCGGUUCCGCGGCCCCUAAAGUCAGUGGCGGUGCCGUCCGGCUCCGAGCGUAGUAAUUCUUCUCGCUCUGGAGGUCCGGUCGUGUGCUCGCCAGCAACCCCCAAUUUUUUUCAGGUUGACCUCGGAUCAGGUAGGGAUACCCGCUGAACUUAAGCAUAUCAAUAAGCGGAGGA